GUGCCCAUGCCAUGCACAAGUUCCUGAGUCAGGGAUCAAACCCCUUUGACAGCUACAACUUGAGCCAGAGUGCUAACACUAGAUCCUUAACCCUUGGAGCUACCAGGGAAUUCAGACAUUCUUAGAUUCUCACCUCUCUCACAGAGACAUUCAGACACUUCAACAUGCCCUAUGCUUUGUAUUUUGUUGAAUUUUCUUAUUCUACUUGGCUUUUACCCCAUGAUUUAGACAUUCUAUUGAUUUCCAUGUUUCACACUAAGGACUACUUCUCUAAAGCAUCUAGCAUAACUUUGCCUGUCCUUGAACUUUUUACAAGUGGAAUCUCAUAAUAGGAAUAAUUUAACAUUUUUGCCCAAACUUACGCUUGUUAGAUUUCUGCAUGUCAUUGCAUUUGGCUAUGCUUUGUUCAUUUUCACCGUGGCAUGGGGCUUUGUGAUAGACAUACAGCAAGCAGCUUAUGACCUGUGCUCUAGAUAGACCCAGAGCUCUUUCCAGGUUUGAUUAGAAUUCCUGUCCACAAACCCUAAUGCAAAUAUGCAGAGGUUUCUUUGGUGCAUACCCAAGAUGUUACAUAUGCUUGUGUUACUAAAUAAUGCUAAACUAUAGCAACUUAUGUUCCCACCAGCCAGUAGGAGUUUCUGUUCCAAAGCCCUCCUACCAUAAUCUGAUCUUGCAAGAUUUUUUCCCUUUUUUUUGGGGGGGGGACCCCUGAAGCAUAUGGAGCUCCCCAGCCUGGGGGUCUGGCAUGUGGAAGACGAGCUCCAGAACAUUUGGAGUUAAAGGUCAGUGGAGUUUGAGCACAGUACCUCCACAGGAAUGAGAGAUAGACUCCACUCUGGGAGGGUGCUCAAGGUCUCACUGGGUCCCAGGGCAAAGCGGGGAUUCCAUAAAAAUCUGGGGCAGGCCGUGGAGGGUCUCCUGUGGCUCAAUGUGGGGGGAAGGAUACUGGCGGCAGAAGCCCCAGGAGAUACUGAUCAGUACAAGCUGUGCAGGGAUACCUCAGGCCAAAUACCCAAUACGGUGGGAACACAGCCCCAGUCCUCCUCAGACAGGUAGCCUAAAGUCUUGUUUGUAAACCCACAGCUGCUGCUGCUGGGUUUUUUUGUUUGUGUGUUUGUUUUUUGCUUUUUAGGGCUGCACCCGCGGCAUAUAGAGGUUCCCAGGCUAGGAGUCUAAUCGGAGCUACAGCUGCCAGCCUUCGCCAGAGCAACACAAGUUCCAAGCCAUAUUUUCGGCCUACACCACAGCUCACAGCAACCCCGGGUCCUUAACCCACCAAGCAAGGCCAAGGAUCAAACCUGCAACCUCAUGGUUCCAAGUUGGAUUCAUUUCUGCUGCGCCAUGACAGCAACUCCCCCACAGCUGCUGCUUAACACACCCCUUGACGUGGACCUGCCCACCAGAGGGACAAGACCAGCUCCACAGGACUGCUGUUGGCAGGCAGAAGUCCCUCCCACCAGUAAGCCUGCACAAGCCCCUGGACCAAUCUCAUCCACAGCACAUCAGAGGGAUGACAAUGACAUCAGAAGCAAGAGGUACUAUAGCCCUACAGCCCAUGGAGAGGAGACUACAAACACAGAAGGUUAACAAGACAAACACCCUAAAAGAACAACUAAGUUAAGUAGAGAUAGGCAAUCUGCCUGAAAUAGAAUUCAGAGUAAUGAUCACUCAAGUCCAGGAAGUAUGGAGUCCCAUACAGGAUAAACCCAAGGAGAAAACACCUGAGACACCUAUUAAUCAAGUUGACAAAAAUUCAAAACAAAGAGGAAAUAUUAAACCCAACAAUGAAAAAGCAACAAAUAACAUAAAACAGAAUCCCCAUAAGUUUAUCAGCUGAUUUGGCAGCAGACUCUGCAGGCCAGAAAAGAGUAGCACAACCUAUUUAAAGGAUGAGAAGUGAAAAACUAACAACCAAGACACUCUAUCCAGCAAGGCUCUCGUUGAGUUUCCAAGGGACAAAUCAAAAACUUUACAGACAAAACUUAAGAGAACUCAGCAUCACCAAACCGGCUUUACAACAAAUACUGAAGAACCUCUCUAGGUAGAAAAUUUAAUGCCGCCACUAUGAACAAUUACAAAUGGGAAAGCUAACAAAGGCAAACAGUGAAGGCAGGAAAUCAUCCACAAAUAUGAUUUAUCAAAUACAGCAAUCAUGGGAGUUUACGUUGUGGCUCAGUAGUAACAAACUAGACUGGUAACCAUGAAAAUGGAGGUUCAAUCCCUGGCCUUACUCUGUGGGUUAAAAUGGCCUUGCUGUGAGCUGCAGUAGGUUGCAGACAAGGGUUGGAUCCUCUGUGGCUGUGGCGCAGGCUGCUGGGUGUAGCUCCAAAUCAUCCCCUAGCCUAGGAACUUUGAUAUGCCACAUAUAUGGCCCUUUUUUAACAACCAGCACAACCAGCAAUUGUGAGGUACAAAUGCAGGAUAUGCCAAAAGCAUUGGAAUUAAAAAACCAACAACUUACAACAAUGUUGCAUAAAGAAUGCUGUAUCAAAACCUUGGGUAACCUUUAAACAAAAAUCUACAACAUACACACACUGGUCAUCCAAACAGAUGAUCAUCAAAUCAUAGGAGAAAAGGGAAGAAAAAGCUACAAAAACUUAUCAAUUAACUAAAUGGCAAUGAAAAUACACACAUUGAGAAUUACCAUAAAUGUAAAUGGUUAAAUGCUCCAAAAUAGUUGAUUUAAAAGGUUAACAUGGCCAGGAGUUCCAGGUAUGGCACAGUGAGUUAAGAAUCCAACAGCAGUGGUUUAGGUUCCUGUGGAGGCCGAGUUGAAUCCCAGGCCUGACACAGUGGGUUAAAGGAUCUGGUAUUGUUACAGCUGCUGUGUAGGUCAUAGCUGGCCAGGGAACUUCCACAUGCUGGAGGUGCAGCCAUUAAAAGAGGGAGUUCCUUCAGCUGUAAGGAACCCAGCUUUGAGAGGUCAGCAAGAAGCCAUGCCAGAGUUCCUAUAGUAGCUCAGUGGGUUACAAGCCAGACUAGCCUCUGAGUAUGUGGGUUUGUCUCCUGGCCUUGCUCUCAGGGUUGCUGACAGCUACGACCUGGAUCCCAGAGUAGGCUUGGAUCUGGCAUUGCUGUGAAGUAGGCCAACACUUACAGCCCUGAUUGGAGGCCCUAGAGUGGUAACCUCCAUAUACUGCAGGUGAGGCCCUAAAAAAAGAUAAAUAAAAUGGUCAAAUCAAAGGAAUGCAGGAGAGGAGUGUGUGCCUUCAGGGAAGGAGGAGCAGAGAGGAGAAUGGUGAGAUUUUCUCAGGUCUUGGCACCUUCCUAAACUUGGAUAACCUGUUACAGAGGCUUUAACUUGAUUCUUUUAACAUGGGUGAUGUCUCUGUAUGAUCAUCUGCAUGUAUGAUGCAUCUGACAAAAAAAUUUUAAAUUAGGUGCUAACAAAAGACCCUUUGAUAGCAUCAACGUUUAGCAUCCCAGGCCUGCCCAAUAAACUGAAAUAAACACAAUUUAGAAACUGUUUAUUUUACAUCCAACUCACUUCUAUUUUUAGAAAAUAAGAGUUCAUGGAAGAACUUAAGACCACUCAGUGGUUGUUCCUACCCAUUCAGUGGCCUGCGCAGUGGGAGCUGCAGACCAAUCUUCAGUGGUAGGCUGAGCACUCCAAUCUUCUGUUGAAGGGAGAAAAAAAAAAGCCAUCAGCCCCUUCUAAGAAUAUUUUUGUCUCCCCACAUUUCAAAAGACUAAAGAAAAGACAGCAUUUCAAAAACCACCUGAAUUCAAUCUAUCAGGUUAUUGGCACAGCUAUAGCACACUGGGAUGAAAACCUUUCAAUAUAUACAUACACAGCCAUGGAAAUAAUGAGUUAGAUUAAAAACAAGUUCCAGGGAGUUCCCAUCGUGGCUCAGUGGUUAACGAAUCCGACUAGGAACCAUGAGGUCGCGGGUUCGGUCCCUGCCCUUGCUCAGUGGGUUAACGAUCCGGCGUUGCCGUGAGCUGUGGUGUAGGUUGCAGA
rnacentral:lncRNA from 1 species